rnacentral:lncRNA from 1 species
AAACACAAGUCAGAUUUGAUCAUCCUCUGCAUAGACCCAACCGAAGUAUCUCCACUUCAUCUUCUUCCCCUACAAUGACACAACCCCACUUCAUUGUGAUAACCUAUCCGGCACAAGGCCACAUCAACCCUUCUCUCCAACUGGCUAAGCGCCUCAUACGUGUUGGUGCCCAUGUCACAUUCGUCACUAGCACCUAUGCCAGUGAGCGCAUGGCCAAAACCCCAACCAUGGAUGGGUUAAAAUUCGUCACAUUCCCGGAUGGCUGCGACAGUGGCCUCAAGCAAAGCGAUGCCCUCCAAGGCUUCAUGUCUGAGCUUGAGCGUCUUGGCUCCCAAGCUCUUACCGACCUCCUCAUAGCCAGCGCUAAUGAAGGUCGUCCCGUUGCUUGCAUAAUCUACGGCAUCCUGAUUCCUUGGGUAGCAGAGGUGGCGCAUAGUCUUCACAUCCCCUCCGCACUUUUUUGGAGUCAACCUGUCUCUGUUUUUAAUAUCUAUUAUUAUUAUUUUUGUGGCUAUGGAGAGCUCAUUCGCAAGAAAGUCCGUGACUCCUCGCCUUCCAUUGAAUUACCAGGACUGCCCUUGCUCAGUAGCCGUGACAUUCCCUGUUUCCUACUCCCCUCAAAUGCAAAUGAAUACAACUUCGUCCUUUCAGCGUUUGAGAAGCACCUAGAGAUGCUCCACCGUGAUACCAACCCAACGGUACUGAUAAACACUUUCGAUGCAUUGGAACCAGAGGCCCUAAGGGCCGUCAGUAAGUUUAAGUCGAUUGGAGUUGGACCCUUGUUUCCAACCGCUUUCUUGGGUGGAAAAGAUCCAUCCGAUACUUCAUUUGGAGGUGAUCUUUUCCGUCGUUCAAAGGAUUAUAUUGAAUGGCUGAACUCAAAGCCUGAAUCUUCUGUCAUUUACGUGUCAUUUGGAAGCCUAGCGGUGUUAUCGAAGCAACAGUCUGAGGAGAUUGCUCGUGGAUUGCUGGACAGUGGCCGGCCUUUCCUGUGGGUCAUAAGAGCCAAGGAGAAGGGAGAAGAAGAGAAAGAAGAAGAUAAACUAAGUUGCUACGCAGAAUUAGAACAACAAGGGAUGAUAGUACCAUGGUGUUCUCAGGUUGAGGUUCUCUCAAAUCCAUCACUGGGUUGUUUCGUGACUCAUUGUGGGUGGAAUUCAACCUUGGAGAGCUUGGCUUCUGGGGUGCCAGUUGUGGCAUUUCCUCAGUGGACCGACCAAUCCACGAAUGCAAAGCUAGCCGAAGACGUGUGGAAAACGGGUGUACGGGUGACCGUGAACCAAGAAGGAAUAGUUGAAAGCGAUGAGAUUAAGAGGUGCUUGGAAUUGGUCAUGGGAGAUGGAGAGGAGGCGAAAGAAAUGAGAAGGAAUGCAAAGAAAUGGAAGGGUUUGGCAAGGGAGGCUGUGAUGGAAGGUGGAUCAUCUGACAAGAAUCUUAAGAAUUUUAUGGAUGAGGUCAUACAAGGUUACUAGCUAGAUAUUGUGGUUGUAUCUCUUGGAGUUUAUGUUAAGACUCCCCGAUUAAUUUAAAUAUUUUACAAGAAGAUUUUUAUUAUUUAUGAUGUUAAUACAAGUAGUAGUAUUAAUUAAUGGUAGAGGGCAUAUCUAAAAUUAUGGGAGAUUCAUUGCUUCCUGAAGGCCCUAUCACAAAGGAUCUGUCAAAUGCGUGGCUAAGGUGCUGUUUGGUAAAUGUCCGUUACCAGCCAAAAUUUUGCAAUUAUUGCUAAUGGGAAUCAGGGAAACCCCAAACUGGCCUUGAUGGUCCUUGCGUAAAGACCCAUCCAAUUCUUUACAUUGUGGCCACUGAUUUGGUGUCUUAUCCUCUCAUGCCCAUCACUUCAUGUUUACAAAUUGAUAUUGUAUUCAUAGCUAUUUUUGAUGAAGGUUCAAUUGGCAAGAAGUAUUUUUGCCUUGGGAAGAUGUUGGUUAUGGAUUCAAAGCAAAAUAACAGAUUAAAAAAAUGAUCCUUGUACAAAUUUUUGGGUGCCUCUAUUAAUUAAGUGAAUAUUAUUAUUUAAUUGAUAAAUUAAUAAUUUAUUAAUUUAAUUACUUAUUAAUUAAAUCUCUGGAAUAAUUCUAUUAUGGAACCUAUCUUGCACUAAGAAGCAUCCAUAGCGAUAAUAAUAUUAAAUAAAUUUUUGUUAUAGUACGAGAAUGUUACAUCAGACCUUUUUUUUUUUUUUUUUUUUUUCAUAUUAGGAAUAGUUGAAGAUGAGAUUCAAGUAAACAUCAGUUUUAAGAAGAAAUAACACAUAUAUUUUAAGAAGGAUUCUUGAUAAAACAUAUGAAUUUAAUUACACAUUAGAAAAUUAUUAAUUUCUAUAAUAUGUGGAUUUUAUAUGAAACUACAUAGAUUUUUUAUUUUAUAAAUUUAUCAAAUUAUUAGUUUAGCACGGUGGCCCCAAGUUUAGAUUAAUUAAAAAAAAUUAAUUGAAGUUCUUAAUUAAUUAAAUAUUAAAUUAUUAUAAAGUUUUAUUGUAUUUUAUUUUCAUGGUUCUAAAAAUUGGAUUGAACUAGUCGAUUUGAUUGGUUUGAGCAUUGAUUGACUAUGUAUUUUACAUAUGAGAUCGAUUAUGAGUUGCACUUUCAUCCCAAGGUAUUUUAAAAUUAGGAAAAUCAAUCCCAAGGUAUCUAUUUUUCUUUUCUUAGUCUAUUCACUAUUGUCCAAACACUCCAUAUGUGGAAUGUGGAAUGUAACUUGGAGGGGCUUGAAUAUGCAGAGUUUUAUAACUUUGCACAUUAAUGUCUCAAAGUGUUAAAAUCUUUUACAACUAAUUGUAGAUAAGUUUAGUAUUGACAAAUAAUUUUAUUACAAUUAAAUAAAAUAUUAGAAUUUUUUUAUUAUCCUACUAAUUUUAUGACAAUCAAAUUUAUACAAAAGUAAUUCUUGGUGUCUCGUGUUACUAAAAACAGAAACUCACUUAAGAACUCAUCACGCCUUUGGUGGAGAAAGAUACUUCAUGGGAUGCUAGUAUUAAUUCUCAAGCAGUGGACCUAGGUGAGAGUAAGAAGAAAACCAAAAUAGUAGAACACUCAUCUAAAUUGUCCCAAAAAAAUGGAGGACAAAAUUCCCAAGAAAGUUCAAUAAACAAGUACAAGAAAAGCCAUGAAAGCCCAUUAUUUUUGGAAACAAUGUCAAAUAUUGAAGAAAUUGUCAAAGCAAAAUAUUGAACUUUCAACUUUAGGCACUUAAACAUACUAAUAAGGGGGGGAAUGAACAUAUUACAUAUGACAGUCCUUUAUCGUCGUAUUGACUUUUUUGAUAUGGUGGUAAAGUAUGAAGUGCUUGCAAGAGGGCUAUUAUCAUAUAUGGAAAAUGAUGAGAAAUCCAUACUAUAUAUGGUGAGCUAGAAAAGAAAAAGGCAAGCUAGUGAAAAGAUGCAAAGCCUUGCACUCUAGUUACAAGACGAGUUGCUUUUGUUUGAGGUGCACUUCUACUCACCCAUUAGCCAUAAAUGUAUGCAUUAUUCACAUGCAUUCACUUGGGUCAAGCAUUUUAAUUGUUCAUCUUCAUUACCAAAAAGAAUAAGUUAUUAGCUAGCUAGGUGAUAGAUGAGAAAUAUGUAUCAAGUUAGAAAAAUGCUAAGUUACAUAAUAGGUAUCACACUGAAUUCUAAAUUUGAGCUACUAAUGUGUGGAACAAAACAUGGAUUGUAAAAUACCAAUACUAAAAGAUGAGACUUAGAUAUAAAGAAAUAAAAUAAAAUAAAGUAGAAAAAAAAUAUAAUCUUAGUAUAAUUAAUAAAUAGAAACUUGUUAGAUGCAUGAACAAAAAAGAUCAUUUUUCCACAUAUAUUGACUUUUUGUCAGCUAUCCCUUUUUUUUAUGAGGUAUGGAAAGCAAUUUCCCUAUCAUAGAAUGAUUAAUAAAUGCAUGGGAAAAUAAUUGAACACAUUAAUGAGAUUCAAAUUCAAGAUUCAUAAGCCAAGGUACCUAUUAAAAGCUGCUAGUUGACCUAUAAGUUUAAGCUGAUAGAAAAAUAAUGAUAUCAAGCUUACCAGGAUUAGAUGAAGGGAUUAUAAAAAAGAUAAAAAUAAAAUUAUUGUGUGCAUUCCAAGAAUAGCGACUUGUGAUUGUAUGAGUGGGUGCAAAAAGUGAAGUUAGCCUAUAAGAUUCAUUUCUCCAAUCCUCUCAACAAAGACCACUAGACUGCUAAAGAAUUAUUUGCUACUACAAAUGAGCAACUCCAUCAAGAAGCUAAGGAAUGGCUAAUGCUUACCAUAGAGAAUUGCACCACUCUUUCUAUUUUCAUAGCCACUGUUGCCUUUGCUACAACCUACAUGGUACCAGAGUAAAAAACUUAGAGAUAUGAAGAAAAGAAGAGAUGCGGAGCACCUAUUUGAGAGAAAAUCGGAGAGAUAAAAACUAAAAAAAUUGAACAACUUAGUAUCAUUGAUAAGAACUUUGUUUCUUAUAUACAAAUAUUCAGAAAUUAGUUACAAACAACUGAUUACUACUCAAAAAGUGCUAUUUGAUAGCUUAUAAUUAAUCCUUUUAAACACUUUUGAGUAGUAGUUUUGGCCUUUUAACUCAAUUGGCAUGUUAAGGACCCUUGAAAGCAAUUUUAAUCACUUUGUGUAAGUUUUGGUGUUUUUGUUAGUAUUUUGAUCACCAAAGCAAUUCAAGAUUGAGGAGAAUUUUGAGGAAUCUUGGGCAAAGAUUGGAAGUCAUUUGCCAAGAGUAAAUCCGAAGUGCAAGGAGAAAAAGUAAAGAGAAUCUGCCAUGAAGCAUAUUCUUGAUGACAGUCGUGGCAGCCACUUUUGGAGCACUUUCUGAAGUCCAAUUGAUGCAUGCUAUAUACCAUUUCAAAGAUCAGGAAGUCAACAAUCUAAUGCUUCAAACGGUGCACAAUUCGGAGUUGAAACGAAGAAGUUGCAGCCAUUGCAAGCCAAUCACUCCAAGCUGAAGGAAGCAUUUUCCAAAGUGUUGCGAAAUCACCCUUUUGUUGCGAAGUGAUUUCGCAGCAUUUUUGUACAGUAUGGUGUAUUUCCUCCUGAAGUUGCCCGAUAUAUGCCGCAAGCUGGAAGCUGAGAGCAUCAAGGUAGAAGCCAACUUCGCAGCCCUGCGAAGAUAGCAUGUUGUUGCGAAAUGAUUUCGCAGCCCUUCUUGAGUGUCUGCGAAAUCUCGCAGACACCAUUUUCUCUUGCGGAAUGGUUCCUGGAGCAUCCCGAUAUUUGCUACCGACAUUGGGAGAUAUUUUACAUCAGAUUUUUGUUGUCUAAAUCCCAAAAUACUCCUUGUAAGCCACCAAUUACAAGAUUCCUUAGCUUUAAGUUAGUAAAAAGAGAAAAUAUCUAUGUAAUAAUUAGUUUUAUAUUAUGUUCAUAUAAAUACCUCUCGGGAGCCUGUUCUCAGAGAGAGCCUUUUGUAAAGUUUUAGGUAAGCAAGUAAAGUUCAGUUCUUUGUAUUACCUUACCUUCUCACUUUGUAUAUUUUAUUUUCUUACUAAGUUAUGAACUCUCUGAGGAGUUUUCCCCAGAGAAUGAGUAACUAAACCUCUAAUUCCUUGGAGCUAAGGUUGCCGGGGAAGGUUCCAAGUGCAAGAAUGCAAAGCUUUGUGGUUUUAGCUAGUAAUGAAGAGGAAGUGAAAUCCUUUAGUGAUUUCUAUGUUUUUAGUUAACUUAAAACACCUUAGAGUCAUCUGGGCCAACACUUGGUAAGGCAAGUGAUUUCCAACCAUGGAAAUGCACUAGUUUACCCUUUGCGAGCCUCUGGAAGGUGACUUUAGGGUAGGAUUUUCUAGAAUAGCCAACACUUGGUAAGCUUUUGGACUCCAAGGAGACAUCCAUUAGUUAUCUCUUGCGAGCUUUUGAAGGGAAGUCCAAGGUUAAAGAUCAUCUUGAAUGGUAAGUGCUCGUGAGAGGCAUGAACCAUUGCAAGUUGUAUCAAUGAGAGAAUUAAAGUUGAAAUCCAAUUAAAGGAUGUAUCUGUACAACACCGGUUAGAGAAUUGACUAUAUGUUGAAUCUCUAACGCGAGGAAAGGAACCAUCUGACCGGAGCUAUGUCUUUUGCAUGAGGAACCACCCCAGUGAACCUAACUCUCCAAGGAAUGCUUUUCUUCCUAAGUUAUUCCGAGUACUUGUUAUGUUAGUUAGUUUAAAUCUUUACCAAUCAAAGUUUGUGUUUUAUUUCUUAAGCUAACCUUGAAAUGAAACAAGACCAAUUCACUUGGAAUUGGUAUCAUUGAUAGCUUGCUAAUCCUUCCCAGUGAACGAUCCUAGAGCCGUUAUACUAUAGUAGCUUUUUCUUUGCUACCCUAGUAUAUGGUGUUAUAGGUUAUAAAUUUUGUUGAUUACUCCCUCUAUCAAGGAGCACCAGUUGGACACGAAUCAGCUGAGACACCAAUUGGGCACGAAUCAAAUGGCGCCGUUGCCGGGGAAUGUGUCAAUUUUAUAGCGAUACCAUUUUUUAGCACUUGUGAUUGUCAUCACAAGUUUGGUAACGUUUCUUUCACUUUACUAAUUCUCAUUCUUUCUUUAUUUAUUCAUAAUCCAAGUUUAUCUUUUAAAUUCAGCUUAGUUUAAUUUUGUUUUUCGUAGCCCUGUUUUCUUUUGUUGUCCUUUAUUUUCAUUUUAGUUGCAGAUAGAUACUAGUUGUGUAUGCCAAAUUGGAUACGAGACAGUGGAGGAAGACUUGUUAAGUGUGAUACACCUCAUAACAAAGAAUUUGAGUUGAGCUUGAAUAUCAUGGAAACUACACCUGAAGAUCAGCAUAGUCACCAAGGUCGUCAAGACAAUCUCAAUGAAUUCAGAUCAAUGAGGGACCGUAUGCAUCCACCUCGUAUGAGUGCACCAUCAUGUAUAGUGCCCCCUACAGAGCAGCUAGUGAUCAGACCGUAUCUCGUUCCACUUCUACCAACUUUCCAUGGGAUGGAAAGUGAGAAUCCGUAUGCAUACAUCAAGGAAUUUGAAGAUGUUUGUAAUACAUUCCAAGAGGGAGGAGCUUCAAUUGAUUUGAUGAGGCUUAAGUUAUUUUCUUUUACUUUAAAGGAUAAAGCCAAAAUUUGGCUUAAUUCUUUAAGGCCAAGGAGUAUCCGUUCUUGGACUGACUUACAAGCUGAAUUCCUCAAGAAAUUUUUUCCCACUCAUAGAACAAAUGGCUUGAAAAGGCAAAUUUCAAACUUCUCAGCUAAAGAGAAUGAGAAAUUCUAUGAGUGUUGGGAAAGAUACAUGGAAGCUAUAAAUGCUUGUCUUCACCAUGGCUUUGAUACUUGGCUAUUGGUGAGUUAUUUUUAUGAUGGUAUGUCCUCCUCAAUGAAGCAACUCCUCGAGACAAUGUGUGGAGGAGAUUUCAUGAGUAAAAAUCCAGAGGAAGCUAUGGAUUUCUUGAGCUAUGUAGCUGAUGUUUCAAGGGGAUGGGAUGAACCAACCAAAGGAGAAGUGGGGAAGAUGAAGUCUCAACUGAGUGCUUUCAAUGCAAAGGCUGGGAUGUAUACCUUGAAAGAAGAUGAUGAUAUGAAAGCAAAAUUGGCAGCUAUGACAAGAAGAUUGGAGGAGCUGGAGCUGAAAAGAAUACAUGAAGUGCAAGCUGUUGCUGAAGCACCAGUGCAAGUGAAGCUGUGUCCCAAUUGUCAAUCAUAUGAACAUUUGGUGGAGGAAUGCCCUACAAUUUCAGCUGAAAGGGAGAUGUUUAAAGAUCAAGCAAAUGUUGUUGGACAAUUCAGGCCCAAUAACAAUGCGCCUUAUGGAUAUACCUACAACUCAAGUUGGAGGAAUCAUCCAAAUUUCUCAUGGAAGGCCAGAGCAACUCAAUACCAACAGCCGGAUCCACCACCUCAACAAACUUCAAGUCUUGAUCAAGCAAUGGCUAAUCUCAGCAAGGUAGUGGGAGAUUUUGUUGGAAAGCAAGAAGCCACCAAUGCUCAAAUCUAUCAAAGAAUUGAUAGAGUAGAGAGUAUGUUGAAUAAUAUGAUGGAUGGAAUGCAAAAUGAUAUGAACCAAAAGUUUGAUAACAUCCAAUAUUCAAUUUCAAGGCUUACAAAUUUGAAUACACUGCAAGAAAAGGGAAGAUUUCCUUCUCAACCCCACCAAAACCCCAAAGGUGUCCAUGAAGUGGAAAGCUAAGAGGGAGAAUCAUCACAGAUGAAAGAUGUCAAAGCCUUGAUCACUCUAAGGAGUGGUAAAAAAAUUGAGCAGCCAACACCCAAGCCACAUGUUGAGAAAGAAGAAGAAAUAAAGAAAGGGAAGGAAAUGAAAGAUAAAGACAGUGAGGUCAGUGAAGAAAAGAAGGACUCUGAUUCAACAAUGAAUGCAAUUCCAGAGAAGGAACUUAUGAAGGAAGAAAUGCUGAAGAAAUCAACUUCUCCACCUUUUCCUCAAGCAUUACAUGGGAAAAAGGGGGUUAGAAAUGCAGCUGAAAUCCUUGAAGUAUUGAGACAAGUGAAAGUCAAUAUUCCACUGCUGGAUAUGAUUAAACAAGUUCCAACGUAUGCAAAAUUCCUAAAGGAUUUAUGUACUAUCAAAAGAGGGUUGACUGUAAACAAGAAAGCCUUAUUGACUGAGCAAGUAAGUGCAAUCUUACAAUGUAAGUCUCCAUUGAAGUACAAAGACCCGGGAAGUCCUACCAUUUUAGUCAUGAUUGGAGGAAAGAUAGUGGAAAAAGCCUUGUUAGAUUUGGGAGCAAGUGUGAAUUUGCUUCCAUAUUCCGUCUAUAAGCAAUUGGGACUUGGUGAGUUGAAGCUAAUAGCAAUCACUCUAUCUCUAGCAGAUAGAUCAGUAAAAAUUCCAAGGGGGGUAAUUGAGGAUGUCUUGGUUCAAGUGGAUAAUUUCUACUAUCCAGUAGAUUUUAUUGUUCUUGAUACAGAUCCUACUGUAAAGGAAGCUAAUUUAGUUCCUAUCAUCCUUGGAAGGCCAUUUCUUGCUACCUCAAAUGCAAUCAUCAACUGCAGGAAUGGGCUGAUGCAACUCACUUUUGGCAACAUGACACUGGAUCUCAAUAUUUUCUAUAUGUCUAAAAAGCAAAUCACUCCGGAAGAAGAAGAGGGUCCAGAAGAGCUGUGCAUUAUUGAUACUUUGGUGGAGGAGCACUGUAAUCAAAAUAUGCAAGACAAGUUGAAUGAAAGUCUUGUGAAUUUUGAGGAAGGUUUGUCUGAAUCUCCUACUGUGCUUGCUACUCUACAAAGUUGGAGAAAGAUAGAAGAGAUUCUACCUUUGUUCAAUGAAGAAGAAGAGGCAGCUGCUGAAAAAGAAAUUCCAAAAUUCAAUCUGAAGCCUCUACCUGUGGAGCUGAAAUAUACAUAUCUUGAAGAAAAUAAUCAAUGUCCUGUUGUAAUAUCUUCAUCUCUGACCAGUCAUCAGAAGAAUUGUUUAAUGGAAGUUCUCAAGAGGUGUAAGAGGGCAAUAGGAUGGCAAAUAUCCGACUUGAAAGGCAUUAGUCCUUUAGUUUGUACUCAUCAUAUAUAUAUGGAGGAGGAAGCAAAGCCAAUUCGUCAACUUCAAAGAAGGUUGAAUCCUCAUCUACAAGAGGUGGUGCGAGCUAAGGUGCUGAAGCUACUUCAGGCAGGAAUCAUUUACCCUAUAUCUGAUAGCCCUUGGGUGAGUCCUACUCAAGUGGUACCAAAGAAGUCAGGGAUCACAGUGGUUCCGAAUGAAAAAGGAGAAGAAGUUACUACACGCCUCACUUCAGGUUGGAGGGUGUGUAUUGAUUAUAGAAAGUUGAAUGCUGUAACCAGGAAGGAUCAUUUUCCAUUGCCAUUUAUUGACCAAGUGCUGGAGAGAGUCUCUGGACAUCCAUUCUAUUGUUUCUUGGAUGGGUAUUCAGGGUAUUUUCAGAUUGAAAUUGAUGUGGCAGAUCAGGAAAAGACCACUUUUACAUGUCCAUUUGGAACAUAUGCUUACAGGAGAAUGCCUUUUGGUUUAUGCAAUGCACCUGCUACAUUUCAAAGAUGUAUGUUGAGUAUUUUCAGUGAUAUGGUGGAACGAAUUAUGGAGGUUUUCAUGGAUGACAUCACUGUAUAUGGAGGUACAUUUGAGGAAUGCUUAGUUAAUUUGGAAGCAGUUCUUCACAGAUGCAUUGAAAAAGAUCUGGUGCUCAACUGGGAGAAAUGUCAUUUUAUGGUACGUCAAGGAAUUGUCCUUGGUCAUAUCAUCUCUAAAAGAGGCAUUGAAGUUGAUAAAGCAAAGGUGGAGCUUAUUGUCAAAUUACCAUCCCCAACAACUGUAAAAGGAGUAAGGCAGUUCCUUGGCCAUGCAGGGUUCUAUAGGAGAUUUAUAAAAAGGUUUUUCAAGUCUUUCAAAACCUCUUUGUGAGCUGUUAGCUAAGGAUGCUAAAUUUAUAUGGGAUGAAAGGUGUCAGAAUAGCUUUGAUCAACUGAAGAAAUUUUUAACAGCAACUCCAAUAGUGAGAGCCCCUAACUGGCAAUUACCUUUUGAACUGAUGUGUGAUGCCAGUGACUUUGCUAUAGGAGCUGUGCUUGGCCAAAGGGAAGAUGGGAAGCCCUAUGUGAUUUACUAUGCAAGUAAAACACUGAAUGAAGCUCAAAGGAACUACACAACUACAGAGAAAGAAUUGUUAGCUGUGGUAUUUGCUUUGGACAAAUUUCGUGCUUAUUUAGUGGGGUCUUUCAUCAUUGUCUUUACUGACCAUUCAGCCUUGAAGUAUUUAUUGACAAAGCAAGAUGCAAAAGCAAGGUUGAUUAGAUGGAUUCUUUUGUUACAAGAAUUCGAUCUUCAAAUCAAAGAUAAGAAAGGAGUGGAGAAUGUGGUAGCUGACCACCUUUCCAGGUUAGUUAUAGCACAUAAUUCCCAUCCCUUGCCUAUUAAUGAUGAUUUUCCUGAAGAAUCACUCAUGUUCUUAGUGAAAACUCCUUGGUAUGCUCAUAUUGCUAAUUAUUUAGUAACUGGUGAAAUUCCAAGUGAGUGGAAUGCACAGGACCGGAAGCACUUCUUUGCCAAAAUUCAUGCUNNNNNNNNNNNNNNNNNNNNNNNNNNNNNNNNNNNNNNNNNNNNNNNNNNNNNNNNNNNNNNNNNNNNNNNNNNNNNNNNNNNNNNNNNNNNNNNNNNNNCCCUAACUGGCAAUUACUUUUGAACUGAUGUGUGAUGCCAGUGACUUUGCUAUAGGAGCUGUGCUUGGCCAAAGGGAAGAUGGGAAGCCCUAUGUGAUUUACUAUGCAAGUAAAACACUGAAUGAAGCUCAAAGGAACUACACAACUACAGAGAAAGAAUUGUUAGCUGUGGUAUUUGCUUUGGACAAAUUUCGUGCUUAUUUAGUGGGGUCUUUCAUCAUUGUCUUUACUGACCAUUCAGCCUUGAAGUAUUUAUUGACAAAGCAAGAUGCAAAAGCAAGGUUGAUUAGAUGGAUUCUUUUGUUACAAGAAUUCGAUCUUCAAAUCAAAGAUAAGAAAGGAGUGGAGAAUGUGGUAGCUGACCACCUUUCCAGGUUAGUUAUAGCACAUAAUUCCCAUCCCUUGCCUAUUAAUGAUGAUUUUCCUGAAGAAUCACUCAUGUUCUUAGUGAAAACUCCUUGGUAUGCUCAUAUUGCUAAUUAUUUAGUAACUGGUGAAAUUCCAAGUGAGUGGAAUGCACAGGACCGGAAGCACUUCUUUGCCAAAAUUCAUGCUUAUUAUUGGGAAGAGCCCUUUCUUUUUAAGUAUUGUGCAGAUCAGAUCAUAAGGAAGUGUGUUCCUGAAGAUGAGCAGCAAGGGAUUCUAUCUCAUUGUCAUGAGAAUGCAUGUGGAGGCCACUUUGCCUCUCAGAAAACAGCUAUGAAGGUGUUGCAAUCAGGGUUUACUUGGCCAUCUCUUUUCAAAGAUGCCCACAUCAUGUGUAGAAGUUGUGACAGAUGCCAAAGGCUUGGAAAGCUAACAAAAAGAAAUCAAAUGCCUAUGAACCCCAUUCUAAUAGUUGAGCUAUUUGAUGUAUGGGGCAUUGACUUCAUGGGACCUUUCCCAAUGUCUUUUGGUAAUUCUUACAUCUUGGUGGGGGUGGAUUAUGUUUCUAAAUGGGUUGAGGCAAUCCCCUAUAAACAAAAUGAUCACAGGGUGGUUCUCAAGUUUCUUAAAGAGAACAUUUUCUCAAGAUUUGGGGUGCCCAAAGCCAUAAUCAGUGAUGGAGGUGCUCAUUUUUGCAACAAACCUUUUGAAGCUCUGUUAUCCAAGUAUGGAGUGAAGCAUAAGGUGGCUACACCUUAUCAUCCUCAGACUUCCGGGCAAGUUGAGCUAGCUAACAGGGAAAUAAAGAACAUAUUGAUGAAAGUGGUGAAUUCCAGUAGAAAAGAUUGGUCUAUUAGGCUUCAUGAUUCAUUGUGGGCAUAUAGAAUAGCUUAUAAGACUAUUCUUGGGAUGUCUCCUUAUCUUCUUGUCUAUGGCAAAGCAUGCCAUCUCCCUGUGGAAGUUGAAUACAAGGCUUGGUGGGCAAUAAAGAAGUUAAACAUGGAUUUGGUCAGAGCCGGAGAAAAGAGAUAUCUAGACCUUAAUGAGAUGGAGGAAUUAAGAAAUAAUGCUUAUAUCAAUUCCAAAGUUGCAAAACAGAGGAUGAAGAAGUGGCAUGAUCAACUCAUCUCCAACAAGGAAUUUCAGGAAGGGCAAAGAGUUUUACUGUAUGACACAAGACUCCAUAUCUUUCCUGGGAAGCUCAAGUCAAGGUGGAUAGACCCGUUCAUUAUUCACCGAGUAUAUUCCAAUGGAGUGGUGGAAUUAUUGAAUUCAAAUGGCAAGGAUAGCUUUAGAGUCAAUGGAUAUCGUCUCAAGCCAUUCAUGGAUCCAUUCAAACCAGAAAAGGAGGAAAUCAACCUCCUUGAGCCUCGAAAAGCCUAAGCAAAGAAGGGUUUGCUGGACGUGGUUUACCACAGUCCAAAAUUUUUGUAAAUUUUGUAAAUUUUCAAGUUUUUUUUCCAUACAUUUGAUCUUAGUUUUUGAUCUUAAAUCAUGUUUUUAGGUGUGUUUUAAUCUUUUUGAAUGAUCCCAGGUGGAAGAAAUUGCAAGGAAAUUGAAAGGAAAAGAAUCGGAUAAAAAACAGAGCAAAAACAGAGCAAAAAACAGAGCUCUGCGAGAUUUCGCAGCCUCUGCGAAAUCAGCACUAUGCUGCAAAACCAUUCCGCAACACUUUGGAGUUCUCUGCGAGAAUUUUCGCAGCUGCGAAGGCGAUUUUGGCACACGAGUGCCACUUUGCAGCACAGGAGCCCUCAUUUGGCAGCUGCGAAACGCAUUGCGAAGUGGUAAAGCCUGAUUUCGCACCAAAAGUCCCAUUCCGCAGGGUAUUUUGCAAUUGCGAAAGCGAUUUUGGCACACGUGUGCCACUUCGCAGCACAGUAACAUUAAUUUCGCAGCUGCGAAAUGCAUUGCGAAGUUGCUGCGAAAAUGACAUUUUGCUGCGAAAUUGGCAUUUUGCUGCGAAACUCAAACUGACCCUUAGUCUUCCCUUAUUCCUAUUUAUACCGGUCAUUUGAGUUGCGAAAAGGGUUUCAAAAUCAGAGCGCGCCAUUCUCGCAGACCGUCCAUCUCCUUCUUCAAGCCUCACCGCGCAAGCCUCCGGUCAUCUUCUCCGACCAUCCGUUCCGGCCAAACUUCGGUAAUCCGAAAUGGCGCGAACAAGAGGGGCUAAGUCUCCAUCUCCUUCGAGCCGCAAGAGAAGCUUGCGAAAGGAACCAGUUCCAGAUCCUAUCCCUGACCCUCCGCAGCCGAAAGCAAUUCCUCCUCCGGUGAAGCCCGCGCUGCCAAAGCCUCCGGUAAAGCCCGCGCCGCCAAAACCUCCGGCAAAACGAUACCUAACCAGGUCAGGGGGUCGGCCACUGCAAAAGAAACCCAGGGUGGAGAGCUUAGAACCCAUCGAUUUGACUGAGCAAUCUCCAGAGCCCUCGCCGGCUCCAACUCCAGUUCCCUCGCCAAUUCAGCCUCCGGUGCCAUCUCCGACGCCGCAAGCAAAAUCUCAGGAGACUCAAGCGCCACUUCCCGAGCCCCAAAUUCCAUCUGAAAUAGCUCCGGAAGAAGUAAUCAGGAGGCCGAUGCUGACCCAGCUCCCAAUUGAGGGAAAUUUGGAUUGUAGAACUCGGCCAUUCCACUCCGAGCUAGGCUUUGACAUAUCUACAUUCCAAUUGCAGCCGGAGCUUGCACAGUCAUUCAACCUUCUAAGAAGGUACCAUAUGGAGCAUCUGCUGACUCCGAGAGACUUUUUCUACCCAAGGGUGGCCAUGGAUUUCUAUCAAUCCAUGACAACCAACCAGGUCAGGGAUCCAACUUUAAUUCAUUUCACUAUUGAUGGGAGGCAUGGCAUAUUGGGAGCACGCCAUAUAGCUGAAGCCUUGCAAAUUCCCUAUGAGCCGACCCAAUUCGAUAAUUUUAGAGCUUGGACCAAUCCUACUGAGCUGGAGAUGGUGCGCACCCUAUCCAGAGGAGCUGCCAAUCGAUCAUAUCUGUUGAGGGGGGAGCUUCCUCCAAUCAUGUUUUUGAUUGAUGCAUUUUUGCGUCAUAACCUCUACCCAUUGCAGCAUUGGACUCAAAGAAGAGGAGUCCUCUUAGAAGCCCUGUACAAGAUGUCUGAAGGAUUUUUCUUUGGGCCUCAUCAUCUGAUUCUGGCAGCCCUUCUCUAUUUCGAAGAGAAGGUACACAAAAAGAAGCUUCAGAGAGCUGAUUGCAUUCCCCUCCUCAUUCCAAGGCUGCUAUGCCAAAUUCUGGAGCACUUGGGGUAUCCUUCUGAACCUCAAUUGGAGCGCAAACGCAUUUGCCGUGAGCUUUUCACUCUUAACAAAUGGAACAACAUGACAGCUUAUCGAGUUGACCAGCCUGAGCGCCCACAGCCAGCUGUAAGGAGAGCAUCCCCACGACACAUACCUGAGGGUAUAACAGUUGCUGCUCCUGCCAUUUGCAGAGCUCCACCAGCUGCUCCAGCUUCAUCUCAGCCAUCCACUUCAGCUGAGCCGAGGAUGGCCAUACCCAUUUCUGAAUAUCGAGAGUUGUGCCGUGCAUUGCAGACCCUCACAGCUUCUCAGAGCAGUCUUGCUCAAGAGAUGGCAGCCAUUAGAGCAUGCCAAGAGCAGAUGUUGGCCACUCAGGCUCAACAAGCUGCCAUCUUAAGGCAGCUCCAGCUUCAUUUCAACCUGCCACCAGCUGUUGAGCCCUCCACUUCUACUCCAGCAGAGCCACACUCUCAUCCCUCAGAGCCUCAAGCCCCAGCUGAAGCACCAACUGAAGAGGCAGAUCCAUCUGCCUAGCCCCAGCACCACCCACUCAUCAGAUCAUUAUAUAUAUAUCUACUAUCUUUGUUUUAUGUAUUUCGUUUUUUAGUUUGAAAGAAAUCCCAUUAUUUUGGUAUUAUAUUUGGGAUUGCUUGUAUUACUUUUCUUUUGCAUUGUACUUAAAUGGAUUCAAAGUAAUACAAGUUUAAUAUUUCUUGUUAACAGUUAGCAUUAAGUUAUCCUUAUUUCCUUUUCUCACAUAUUCUAUUCUUUUUGAAACAUGUGGUUUCUCCAAUUAGUAUGCGAAUUUGAUAUCACACAGGAGGUACCACUUCCUCCCUUUAAUUACAGUCACUCAUAUCACAUUGAGGACAAUGCUCAGUUCGGUUGGGGGGAAUGAGGAAGGAAGUUAUGCUAAAUUAAAGGAAGUAUGCUAAGCCUUUUUAGUAAUGCAAUUAUUUUGGUAAAUUAGUUGUAGUUUUUGUUUUUUACUCUUUUUACUCUAUUCUCCAUGAAUCUUGAGGAAAAAUUUUCAAAUUAAAACAGGAAAAAUUGAACUGUUGUUUUUCACUUGACUUAGAGUAUGGAUUAUGCUCACUAAAGUGGUUCAAUUGUUGAAGCUUCUAUUGAAAUUGAAUUUAGUUCUUCCACUUUAAGCUAUUCACACACUGUGCACAUUAGAUUCCGAUUAUAAGAUGAAAAACUAUUUCCCUCUUGACUUAGGAUAAUUUUGGGACUUGGUAUAUUUGACCUCAUUUGAUAAAAAUUGAAACACCCUGCAAAAGGCCAAUGAGCCUUUGAAAUAAAGAAAGUUGUUUGCUUGCCUUAAAACCCGAGCAAGGUCUGAGAGGUAUAUGGUGAAAAUCUUUGAAGCCUGGUGCCCUAAGCCUUAAUUGGUUGGGAGUCACCGACCUCAAUGCUCGUUACAAGGGUGAAUAGGUAGAGUAGCAUAUGGUAGGUGCUUGGGUAUUAAAAAUUCAUUCUCAAAAGUCCGGGGAAAAAUCCGAGGAGUUAGUGGUUGAAAGAUCCUUAAAGCUUGGUGCCCUAAACCUUAAUUGGUUGGGAGUCAUCGAUGGACCCCCAUUACAUGGACAAUACAGAAAGAGUACCCCAUAAGUUCUUUGUUAAAAAAAAAAAAAAAAAAAAAAAAGUGUGUUCUUUCUUUAUUGAUUUUGGUCAGUUUGCUAAGUGUUGAAAAGAGAUAGGUUGGGGGGAGAGAUUAGUUUAGCAUAUUAUUCUCGGAAGCUAAGGAACCAAUACACAUAGAUUUUUGAGGAAGAAUAAAGUUUGGUUCUUUGAAAGUGGAAAUGAUUUUAAAACUUCAGUUUGCAUAAUGCAUUCCCUUGUUUGACAGUGUUUAGCAUAGUUUGUUAUAACUCUUGUUGAAAUUUGCUUUUAUAUUUCUUUAAGGUUUCAUGAGAGAAUUAGAUCAUCAUGCCACUUGAGAAUUGUUUUUGAUCAGCAUGAUGUUGUAAAUUAUAGUUUAAUUUGUUGUUUAUUUUCAUUUUUCUCUCCUAUAUUGCUAAGGGACUAGCAAUAUGUCGGUUGGGGGGAGUGAUUACUACUCAAAAAGUGCUAUUUGAUAGCUUAUAAUUAAUCCUUUUAAACACUUUUGAGUAGUAGUUUUGGCCUUUUAACUCAAUUGGCAUGUUAAGGACCCUUGAAAACAAUUUUAAUCACUUUGUGUAAGUUUUGGUGUUUUUGUUAGUAUUUUGAUCACCAAAGCAAUUCAAGAUUGAGGAGAAUUUUGAGGAAUCUUGGGCAAAGCUUGGAAGUCAUUUGCCAAGAGUAAAUCCGAAGUGCAAGGAGAAAAAGUAAAGAGAAUCUGCCAUGAAGCAUAUUCUUGAUGACAGUCGUGGCAGCCACUUUUGGAGCACUUUCUGAAGUCCAAUUGAUGCAUGCUAUAUACCAUUUCAAAGCUCAGGAAGUCAAUAAUCUAAUGCUUCAAACGGUGCGCAAUUUGGAGUUGAAACGAAGAAGUUGCAGCCAUUGCAAGCCAAUCACUCCAAGCUGAAGGAAGCAUUUUCCAAAGUGUUGCGAAAUCACCCUUUUGUUGCGAAGUGAUUUCGCAGCAUUUUUGUACAGUAUGAUGUAUUUCCUCCUGAAGUUGCCCGAUAUAUGCCGCAAGCUGGAAGCUGAGAGCAUCAAGGUGGAAGCCAACUUCGCAGCCCUGCGAAGAUAGCAUGUUGUUGCGAAAUGAUUUCGCAGCCCUUCUUGAGUGUCUGCGAAAUCUCACAGACACCAUUUUCUCUUGCGGAAUGGUUCCUGGAGCAUCCCGAUAUUUGCUAUCGACAUUGGGAGAUAUUUUACAUCAGAUUUUUGUUGUCUAAAUCCCAAAAUACUCCUUGUAAGCCACCAAUUACAAGAUUCCUUAGCUUUUAAGUUAGUAAAAAGAGAAAAUAUCUAUGUAAUAAUUAGUUUUAUAUUAUGUUCAUAUAAAUACCUCUCGGGAGCCUGUUCUCAGAGAGAGCCUUUUGUAAAGUUUUGGGUAAGCAAGUAAAGUUCAGUUCUUUGUAUUACCUUACCUUCUCACUUUGUAUAUUUUAUUUUCUUACUAAGUUAUGAACUCUCUGAGGAGUUUUCCCCAGAGAAUGAGUAACUAAACCUCUAAUUCCUUGGAGCUAAGGUUGCCGGGGAAGGUUCCAAGUGCAAGAAUGCAAAGCUUUGUGGUUUUAGCUAGUAAUGAAGAGGAAGUGAAAUCCUUUAGUGAUUUCUAUGUUUUUAGUUAACUUAAAACACCUUAGAGUCAUCUGGGCCAACACUUGGUAAGGCAAGUGAUUUCCAACCAUGGAAAUGCACUAGUUUACCCCUUACGAGCCUCUGGAAGGUGACUUUAGGGUAGGAUUUUCUAGAAUAGCCAACACUUGGUAAGCUUUUGGACUCCAAGGAGACAUCCAUUAGUUAUCUCUUGCGAGCUUUUGAAGGGAAGUCCAAGGUUAAAGAUCAUCUUGAAUGGUAAGUGCUCGUGAGAGGCAUGAACCAUUGCAAGUUGUAUCAAUGAGAGAAUUAAAGUUGAAAUCCAAUUAAAGGAUGUAUCUGUACAACACCGGUUAGAGAAUUGACUAUAUGUUGAAUCUCUAACGCGAAGAAAGGAACCAUCUGACCGAAGCUAUGUCUUUUGCAUGAGGAACCACCCCAGUGAACCUAACUCUCCAAGGAAUGCUUUUCUUCCUAAGUUAUUCCGAGUACUUGUUAUGUUAGUUAGUUUAAAUCUUUACCAAUCAAAGUUUGUGUUUUAUUUCUUAAGCUAACCUUGAAAUGAAACAAGACCAAUUCACUUGGAAUUGGUAUCAUUGAUAGCUUGCUAAUCCUUCCCAGUGAACGAUCCUAGAGUCGCUAUACUAUAGUAACUUUUUCUUUGCUACCCUAGUAUAUGGUGUUAUAGGUUAUAAAUUUUGUUGAUUACUCCCUCUAUCAAGAAGCACCAGCUAGACACGAAUCAGCUGAGACACCAAUUGGGCACGAAUCAACAACUAACAACCUAUUAACUACUUAACAACUCUAACUAACAUCCAACCUCAAGCACAUAGGGUGAGAAAGAACUAUGAGCUUGCUCUAGAGAUGAAGGAAAUGCUGAGUGGAGAGAGCUUUGGUUAAGAUAUCAACAGCUUGGUCUCCAAAUGGAAGAAAUCAAACAUCAAAAGUUUUCUACGGGACUCAUUCUUAAACAAAAUGAUAAUUAAUUUCCACAUGUUUAGCCCGAGAAUGAAGGACAAGAAUUACAGCCAAAUAACAUGAACUAAAACAGGGGAACAAAGGGCUCUUUAAGAAAGGAUUGAAUCUAAGUGAGUACGACCGUUGCAUUGGCCAAGCCCCUAUACUCGGACUCGGUAUAAGAGUGUGAACCACCUUUUGUUUAGAAGCUGACUAAGAGACCAGAUUACCACAAAAAAAAAACAAAAAAAAAAAACAAAACACAGUAGCCACUAGUGCUACGUCUAUCAUUAGGGCAAGAUACCCAAUCGACAUUUGUAUAAGCAACAAGAUUGAGUGAGGAAGAUGGUUGGAAAAAAAAAACCCAUAAAACAACAAACCUUUGAGAUAACAAAUAACAUGCUUCAUAUCUUGAAAAUGAGUAGAGGUUGGAGCAUGCAUAAAUUGGUAAAUCUUAUUAACAGUAUAAGGAGUGUUUGGUCUAGUGAUUUUGCAAUACUGAAGGGCACCUACAAGACUCUAAUAGAAAGUGGGAUCCUCUAAUUUGGUACCAUCAACUAUGAAUAAAACAAGACCAGUAGCCAUUAAAGAAGCAACAAGCUUUGAUUCCAACAAAUCAACAUGCUGAAGAAGAUCACAAAUGUAUCUAUCUCGGCUUAAAUGCAAAGAAAAUCCAAAAUUGAGCACCUCUAUUCUAAGAAAGAAAUUGAGAGGACCAGAUUCUUGAGAGCAAAGCAAGAGUUUAAGGAAGAUAUAAGUUGUUCAAUGAGCAAGGAAUUUGAAUUAGUGACAAUAAUAUCAUCGAUAUAAACUAAGACAACAAGCAUGAUAGAAUUGUUAUGGUAACCAAACAUUGAUGUAUCUACUUAAGAUAUGGAAAAACCCCAUUUAAAUAAUGCAGAAUUCAGUUUCGUGAACCAAGCCCAUGGAGUUUGCUUCAAGCCAUACAAGGCCUUGGUAAGCUUACAAACAAAAUUGGGCUUAGAAGGAUCCACAAAACCCGGGGGUUGUAUCUAAAAACUUGCUCAAAUAAAUCACCAUUAUGAACAUCAAGUUGUUGGAUAGACCAAUUUCUACUCAAUGCCAAAGAGAGAACCACACUAAAGGUUUAACCACAAAACUAAAGGUUUCAAAGAAAUCAAAACUGUGAGUUUGAUGGAAUCCUUUCACCACUAAAUGUGCCUUAUAACAAUCAAUAGUUCCCUUAGGUUUAAACUUCAAUUUAUAAACCCACUAACAUCCAAUGGUAUUCUGAUUAGACGGAGGAGGAACCAUGACGUAUGUUUUAUUUUUCAUAAGAGCUUCAAAUUCAAGAUGCAUAGCCUAUUGCCAUUCAGGAACUUUAGCAGUUUCCUUAAAGGAAUCUAGUUCACAAAGUGGAGGAAAAAUAGUCUUAGUAGGAGACAAAUAUAACUUGAGUUCGAAAAUGCCAUUUUUGGCACGUAUUAUCAUGAGAUGACAAGGAGUAAGAACAUAAGAGGAAAGAGGUUGGGUUGUUGGAAUUGCUGUAACCUUAGAAAAGGAAAUUGACACACUAGAAUUAGAUAUUGGAACCAACUUUGAAGGUGGACAUAAUGGGGGAGGUAAGAGGGAAGGUAUUGGAGAUGAUGGUACUACCAAGGGAAUGACACAAUGAGAGGGGGAAACAGAAUAAGAAGUUUGAACUAUGGAAGACUUAGCAAAUCGGAAAUCUAGUUCAUAAAAAAUAACAUGUCGUGAUAUAUGUAUUUUAUGAUUGGACAUGUUUAAAUAAAGAUAUCCUUUAUGCUUAGAACUAUAGCCAAUAUUUUAACGGAUUGAUAUGCAAGUUUAUGACAAUUAAAAUGAUGUAGAAAAGGAUAACAAAUGUAGCCAUAGACAUGAAGAAAAUAAUAAUUUGGUAGACAAUGGUAAAGAGUCUUAUACGGAUCGAGAAGAGAUAUUCAACAUAGAGGUAGGAAGUCUAUUAAUCAAAUAUAAGGUAGAUUGGAAAACAAAAGGUCAAUAUUUAAGUGGAAUAGAAGCACGAGCAAGCAAAGAAAGACCUAUUUCAACCACAUGUCUAUGUUUUCUCUCCACAUGACCAUUUUGUUGAAAAGUAGAUGGACAAGAUAUUCUAUGCAGAAUCCUAAAUUUACAUAAAGUAUCAAUAAAGGCUUGAAACUCCCCUCCCUAAUCAGUUUGAAGCACUCUUAACUUUAGUGUCAAAUUGAGUCUCAGUUAUCACUUUAAAUUGCAAAAAAACAGAGAUAGCUUGAUUUUUAAAAGCUAGUAGAUACAACCCCAAGAAAAUCUUGUAUGGUCAAUUGGAAAAAAGUACAAAGUAUCUUGCAUCAUUAGCACCAACAAUAACGGUAGGACCCCAUAGAUCAAAAUGUAUAAGAGCAAAAGGCUAAGAGACUCUGGAUUUAGACAAAGUAAAAGGUAAGUGAUGACUCUUUGCCAUUUGACAAGGUUCACAAAUACCUAUCCAAUGUUCUGAGGGCAUACUACAAUCACUCAAAACUUUAUUCACUAUUUUACGUGCAAGAUGGCCUAAUUAAAAUGUCAUAGAGCUACCUUAUUGGGAAGUUGUAAUGCAAAUAACAUACACGGGACCUCAAUUGCCAAGCUUGUUCUUCUAACAAUUUUAUUACCUUUAGAAUCUAUAUUUUUUUUACCAGAAACUGAAGAUGACAAUUUGUAUAAACCAUGGUUAAGGUUGCCUUGGAGAAGAGCCUUCUUUGAAGCUUGAUCCUUCAUCACAAAUCCAUUAGUAAAGAAUUCCAUAGUAACAUUAUUGUUAGUACACAACCUAUUCACACUUAUCAAAUUGGUUGUAAGUUGUGGAACAUGUAGAAUAUUCUUUAGAUUUAAAGACUGAGAAACUGACAAAAUAGUAGAGUAUCCAAUAUUUGAGAUAUUUAAGCAACUACAGUUUCCAACGACAACUUUGUCCAAACCAGCAAAUGGAGUAUGUGCAUUCAAGUUCUUGAAAUUUAAAGUUAGGUGAUAUGUAGCUCUAGUAUCCAUGUACCAACUUCCAUCUGCAAUAGUGGCCAGAGUUGCAAUCAUUGCAGCAAGAUGAGGUUACUCAAUUCUUAGGGUUCUUUUUCCUCAUUGGUUUUUGACUCGGAUGAGUUAACUUAGUUCCUAGAGCUCUUCCUCAAUGACAAACAAUUUUGAUUAGAGUGUGGCAAGGAGUUCAAUGAGCAAGCUGGUGAUUGAUCAAGGCCUCACUAGUGAUGAGGACGUCGGUGAUAGCAACAAUCUAGUUGGAGAAACGAUUUUUUCCAACACCCUCAAACACCGCAAAAAUGAUCAUAUCGUCAUCAUGAUCUUAGAUAAGAGAAACUUAAAGUUUUGUUUAUUCCAAUUUCAAAUUGAAAACAAAAUUGUAGAGCACUAGAUACAAAAUAAAAAAAAAAUAAAAGAACGAAAAAUCACUAUAGAAACCUUAGAAAACACACUAGGAAGAAAAAUCAUAGACAAACUCACAGAAGAAUUUUAUGGCUUUAGGAGUUGGAGCCGGAGUUGGAGAAGAGUCUUAAUGGACAUUGAGGAAGGACAAGAAGAGGUGUUCAACUAUAAUUUAUGUAGGCUAUAUUGUAAAGGUUGGCUUUAAAAUGUAUCUAGUAGCGACCUAAUUAGGGUUCAAAGUAUCGGCCAAGUCUGAUACGACUCGGCCGAGUCAUAUCUGUCUCGACACUUGUCGCAACGAGACCGAUACCAGAUACAAUAUAAUGCAUGAACUCGACUGGGAAUCGGUUAGACUUUGCUAAGUUUUCGAGUUAACUCGGUUGACUCGGUUAGGUUAUAAAGAAUUUUCAAAUUUUUCAUAAAAUUGAAAAUAAUAAUAAUAAUAAAUCAGAGAUUGCCCUUUCAAAAGCAAACACCUAUUUUAAAAUUUUAAACCAUCAAUGAGAAGAUCAAAGAAGACCAAGAAGAAAAAACCUAACCUGUGACUCGUUCGGAAAUAAGUGGAGAAACCACCAAAGGAUGAGGGCAUAAUUUAGGAUUUACUUACUUGAUUUUCCUCAAAAUCGAGCAUUACCGAAGGGUGGAGCUUUGGUGUCGGCGAUGGUGACUCAUCAAGUGGAUUGAAUCUUUCACCGGGGACAUCAACAAGACAACCCCCUCAUAGUCAGAUUGCUCCCCCUCCCGUGUUAGGUCUUGCACGGUUGCAAAUUUGCGAUUGUAGGUGGUAUCGUCUAUUUUGGGUCUUGACAGUAAUGAUGACGUGCGAGGGUGGGAGAUUGGGAGCUUAAAUUAGUAAAGUAAAAAAUUGCAUUUUAUAUGGAUUUACAUGGAGAAUUGAGUCCCUGAUUUACAUGGAAAAUACCUUUCAUAUACACACUUUAAUAUGAUUUAAUAGUAACAUAUUAGGAGAAUUGAGUACCCGAUUUGCUAAAGUAAAAUGAUAUGAAAGGUAUAGAUGAAGUUUAAUGAUAAAUUAAAGUGUUUAUAUAGCAAAGUGAAAAUUAAAUCCUCAAUUUUUAAUAUUAUCACAAAAUAACUUUGAGCUAAAUGUGAAAAAAAAAUGGUUUUAUUAAAAUUUUCACCUUAUUUAAUUAUAUCUAUUUUAUUUUUUGAUUUAUAUAAUAUUUUUAUAAUUUUUUGAAAAUUUUAAUUAUCUUAUUUUACGUAUCGUCCAAUACCGAACCGAAACACUGAAACCAAUAUGCCUCGUGAUCCUCCGAGUCAAUGAUCGAUACCACGACUUUGAACCAUGGACCCAAUGGAAGUGGAGUCUAUAGGAACAUCUAUGGUAACGAUCCAAAAAUUAUUGCAGGCAUAAGAGAAUAUAUAAUAGCACUUUCAACAGUAAUCAUGACUAUGUAUCUUUCCUGGAAAUUUCCCACCAAUCCCAAUCCCAACCCCUUUAGAUGCAUGUGGUUGGAAUAUGCAUGAAGCUAUAUAUUACGUGGUUGGGAUAUGAAUGAGGCUAUAUACUAUUUUUAGUUGUGGAUUUUCUUAGCCCCUACUAAAACUAUGUCGCCAUUUCCUAUUCUUCUUGUAAUGUCAAGUUGGAAAGUUAAAUUUAAUUUAAAAACUUUCUAAAUAUUAAAUUUAGAGUUAGUUUCUAAAUGUUAAGGAGAACAUUUUAUUUUGAAUGAUUAUUUAGUUUUUGUAUUUGAGUAUUCAAGUCCUGAAAGGUCUCUAUAUUUCAUUAUUAAGAUUUUCUAUUUAGACAAAUGUGAGUAUAUUUAUAAACAAAAAAUUAUAUAAUAUAUACAUUUUUUAUAAAAAAAAAAAGCAAUAAAAUACAAUAAAAUUUUAAUUCUCUCCUAUUUUUAUCUUUUUUAUAAGUGUGUGUUUAUCUUUCAUCUAGAUAACUCACACAAUACUAACACAAUGAGAGUAAAAGGAGAAGGGCAAUAAAGAGUUGGGGCCGGAGAUCAUUGGAGGAACGGGUCAACUGUAGGCCGGUUGUCAAUGGGCUCAUAUAAGUAACAAAAAUUGGAAAUGGUUUCUAUAUCUUAGUGUCGUGUCUAGAAGACGACAAUCUACCUGUCAGUGUGCAGCAGAAGAGAAAGCGUGAUAUCUACUUAGAGUCAAAACAAAGGGAACCAGCUCGCAAUUCCUCCGAUACAUCAUUACCGACGUCAUAGCUCUAUUCCCCCAAUUCGUCACUACCAACGUCAUUCUAUCUCCAUUACGCAUUAUUUAAAGAGUCCCCAUGCAGAAGCUGUUCGAAACACAAGUCAGCUUUGACACAACCCCACUUCAUUGUGAUAACCUAUCCGGCACAGGUCCCUGUCCAAAGACCCAUCUUACUCUUUACAUUGUGGCCACUGAUUUGGUAUCUAAUCUCAGGCAAAAUUCACUGGUUUGAUGAAGGUUAUAGAACAAAACUUGUGUUAUUCUUAUCUUUGGUUUUGAUGAACUUUAAAGCAUUUAAAAAGAUUCAACUGGUAAGAAGUAUUUUUGCCUUGGGAAGAUGUUGGUUAUGGAUUAAAAGCAAAAAAGACCCUUGUACAUAUUUUUGGGUACCUGUCAAGCAAAUUAAUGCACAUCCGAACAUCACAACUGUUGUCUCUUAAAUUCUUCCAAUUGACCUGCUUUCGUCUUAUUGAGCGUCUGGGUUACUUGAUAAUGCAAAAACUCAUACAGUUAUUUCGAUAAAUUAAGAGCCUCGGGCAUCAAGGAAAAUCUAUUAUUACUUAAUCGAUAAAUUAAUAAUUUAUUAAUUUAAUUGCUUAUUAAUGAGAUCUCUUGAAUAAUUCUAUUAUGGAACAAGACACCAUAACAAUAUUAAAUAAAUUUUUGUCAUAGUAUGAGAAUACCACACUAGAUGUAAUAUGAGAAUGUCAUAUUUAAUUAGGGCCUUGGCUUAAAAUAAGUAAAUAAAUAAUUAAUAAUUAAAAUAUAAAUACUAGACUCACAUUUUAAACAAACACUUCUAAACUCUCAGACUCUACAAAGAACAUACACAAAGAAAUCUAGGUUCCAGAUUUGAGUGAAGAGAAAGAGAAUUUGAUUUUUUUUGUUCUUUUGUGAAAAUUUCAUGGUAAGUGAUACUUCUUAAAGUUUUCUUUUUUUUUUUUUAUAGUUUUUCUUCUUAGAAACUUUAAUUUCCUAAUAAGAUUAAAAAAGAAUUAAUGAAAACAAGAAAUUAAGAAAAUAAAUUGAAAGUAGUUAAAUCUAGAAUGAUAGAAUAAUAAUAAUAAUAAUAAUAAAAACAAUAGAAAGUUUGAUGUGUUAUUGCCGAAACCUAGAGGAAAAUUCUAUAUGAAAUAGUGGAGUUUAUGUUUUUUUUUUAAUAUAUAUAUAUAUAUAUAUAUAGGAUUUUUGGGAGAAAUAGGUAUCCAUGUAAAUAGAAAUUCUUAUGUGUAGGAGAUAAUAAUUGUAUUAAAAAAAAAUUAAUAGACUAAAACCUGGAGAUUGGUAUUCAUACAGUAAGAUUCCAAGUAUAUAGAAAGUAGAAUUACAUGGAACCUAAAAUUUGGUGCACAAUGUGAUUCUUUAUUUAAAACAAAUAGAAUUUAGUGCAUAGUAGGAUUCCUUGUUCAAAUGAAAUAGAAUUUGUUGGGAGAUACAUGGACUAAUAUUAAUUGUGAAGUUAAGAUGUAUUGUGUAUUGGUGUGAUACUGGAAGUGCAUGAGACAAACUUUUGGAGUGUUGGUAUAGGAAAUAAAGUUUUUUUAAAAAAAACUAAUCUAAUAUAAAAAUAUUGGAGGCCUCGAAUUUUAUUAUGUUAGGAUUCCAUAAUGAAUUAAAUUAAAUCAAAUUAAAUUAAUGUAAUUUAGAUUAGAUUAAUUAUAAGUGAGGGAAUUGAAAAGUUCAAGACAAUAAUUUCAAGACAAUUAAGAAAUGGAAAUUUGAUGUUUUUCCUAGAUAAAUGAAUAAUUUAUAUAUGUGUUACAAAACUAUACAUAUUUAGAAUAUAAUUAUUAUUAGAACAUUUGUUUAAAGAACCCUUAGAAUUUCUCAGGUAAUUCUUAGGAAAUUCUACUGCUUUAAUAUUUGGAGUUUGAGUCCAAUUAAGGGGACUAACUAAAUUUUUUUUUUUAUUUUAUAAAUAGUCAAAUAUAAUUUUCUUUUGAAAGUUUUAAGAAAUUGGAAAAUAAUUUUGUUAUAUUGUAUAUGUUUGCUUACACGUGUGAUAUGAAUUUUUUUGUUUAAAAGAAAAAAAAAAUUAGGACUAGUAAUCUAAUCCUUGUUAAUAAAGGAAAGUGUUUUGACUUUCAUUACCUUUGGUGAAGGUAAUGAUAAUUUGUAAACCCAAUCAUUAGAUUUGUCCUGGCUCCGCCCACCAUCAUGUAAGGAACACAUGAGGUUAGCUAUUUCUAUUAGUCUCAUUACAAUGGGCACCUCUCUAAGUCCAAAUUUUGAUGGGCAUUUUCUGUAAAAAGUUAGAAUUGUUCAUUUAAUAUGUUUGCAAAAUAAUGUUAUGCUUAAAUUAUUUUAAAAAUGACACAUGUAAUAUUAGUUGUUUUGUUGUGUUUAAAAGCAUGCUAUAAAGAUUCCUUAUUUCAUUUUUGGAAACACGCAUACUUGAUUUUCAUACCCCUCAUCGGACUUUAAACUCACUCCUUUUACUAAAAUGUUUUUAGAUAUACAUCUAAUUCUAGCAAUGAGUGAUUCGAGUAAGAGGGUUUUUCAUAGAUCCAUUUAGUUCUUAGUUUUAAGUUUAAUGUCAUAAUAACAUUUUGUUAUUAUAGUUUAAUUUAUCAUUACUAUUUUAGAUAAUAUGUUAUAUUUGAAUUAUAGAUUUCGUGCGAAAGAAUAAUUUUUUAUUAUUUCUUUGAAGAUAUAUGAUCAUUUUGAAAGUUUGCUUCUAAAAUGACCUUGGUGUUUAGCUUACGGGUCAGUAUCGUUAUACUAGACCUUCUAUUUGUAUUAUGAAACUACAUAGAUUUUUCCAUAAUAUAUUAUAUUAUAAAUUUAUCAAAUUAUUAGUUUAGCAUGAUGGCCCUAGGUUCAUAUUGAUUAAAAAAUUAUUUAAUUGAGGUUCUCUAUUAAUUAAAUAUUAAUUUAAUUGUCAGAUACUCUUAUUAUUAUUAUUUUUUAUAAAAUAUUCAAAAAUAUUCUUUGUUAUAUCUUUAACUUAAAAAUAUUUUAAAAAAAACAAGAAUAAAAAAACAUCACCAAACAAGCCCUUAUUUAUUUGUUUGUUUUUUAUGUUUUGUUUGCUAUUGUGGUUUUGUUUAGUUGUCAAGAAGUGUGAGACAGUUGAAGAAAUUGAAGUUUUUUUUUUAUAUAUAUAUUUUUUUAAUAGUAUAGGCAAAAAUUCCAAAGGUUUGAAUUGCUUCAAUUUGUUUGUUUGACUUAUGAGAAAAGGUGGGACAAAUACUUCAAUGAGUUUAUAAUCAUCAGUAGUUAACUUACUUCUCUAUCGAAAUGGUUUAAUCAUUCACACUUAAAUUAAAAGCUGGAUUAUCAAAUCCAUUUCCCUUCAUGGAAACUAGUAACUUGAUCCAUCUACUGGUCAUUUAUGGCUUGAGGUCUUGUGCCAUGCACUCUUAAGUUGAUUUCUAGCUAGAAGUCGUAGUGGUAGGGUAUUCAGGAAUCCUUGUCAUAAAAUGUUGUAAAAUUUAUUUUGUGCAAAUUGUUAAGCUACAACUCAAACCAAGGAGUUAUAUACCAUCUAGAUUGCUUGGAUGAAGAAUAUAGACCAAAUCUAUGUAUGUAUGAUAGUUGUUAAUAGGUAGCAAUAGUGGAGUUAAGCUUCAUAGGAUACUGUUUACUGAUAAAGUUUACAUCUUAUAUAGGAUGGAACGAGUUUUUGAACUUUUGUUAACAUAGAAAAACUAAUUGGGUUAGAAUUCUGGCAUAGGUUUUUGCUAUGGUGAAUCAAACAUUCGGGGGACAUCUACCUAUGACACUCCCAAGACAACUAAUUAGUUCUUCACUAGAAUGAGAUGAUCGAUCUCUAUUUGAGCAAUUGGUUAGAUUAAUCCGAUAACUUUUUUUUUAAUUCUCCCAAUAAGAAAACCUUUCUUAAUUAUUCCAACAUGAGAAAUUUUUUUUCUACCUAUGGUUUUUUCAAUGACUAAAUAUAUUUAUUCCUUAGUAUCUAGUACUUUAAGAAAAACAAAAGUUAAAUUGAUUUUAUCAAAAUCUAAAACUUAAUUAAGUCAGAUAAUUAAAAUAUAAUUAAUUGAAAGUUAUCUUAAGCACAUUAAAUUUUACCUCUUACCACCUAAAAUGAUUUCAAAUUUUAUAGUUGUGAUAGAUCCAAGUUGUCCGAAAAGGUCUAUAGAAUAUGCAUUCUUUUACUUAUAAACAAUGUCUUAAAUAGUCGAGGUAGAGUUAUAUAGGGUCAUGGAUUUCUUAUUUUAUUCGAUGUGGGAAAUCAUAAUACACACUUAUCUCCUGUGAAGAGGGACCGUAACCAGGUUGGCUCAUAUAAAAUAACUAAAUUGGAAAUUGGUCUCUAGAUCUUAACUUUGGGUCGCGUCUAGAGGACGACAAACUACCGGUCAGUGUACAGCAGAAGAGAAAGUGAGACAGGAUACUUAUACAUCUCUUGAAAUUAAUUAGUCUUUGAGUCAAAACAAAGAGGAAGCAGCUCACAAUUCCUCCAAAACAUCAUUGCAAACGUCAUAGCUCUGUUUCCCCAAAUUCGUCAUUACAAACGUCAUUCCAUACUCUGCCUUCCUUAUUUAAAGAGUCCCAUGCAGAUGCAGAUGCAGUUCGAUACACAAGUCAGAUUUGAUCAUCCUCUACAUAGACCCAACCGAAGUAUCUCCACUUCAUCUUCUUCCCCUACAAUGACACAACCCCACUUCAUUGUGAUAACCUAUCCCGCACAAGGCCACAUCAACCCUUCUCUCCAACUGGCUAAGCGCCUCAUACGUGCUGGUGCCCAUGUCACAUUCGUCACUAGCACCUAUGCCAGUGAGCGCAUGACCAAAACCCCCACCAUGGAUGGUUUAAAAUUUGUCACAUUCCCGGACGGCUGCGACAGUGGCCUCAAGCAAAGCGAUGCCCUCCAAGGCUUCAUGUCUGAGCUUGAGCGUCUUGGCUCCCAAGCUCUUACCGACCUCCUCAUAGCCAGCGCUAAUGAAGGUCGUCCCGUUACUUGCAUAAUCUACGGCAUCCUGAUUCCUUGGGUAGCAGAGGUGGCGCAUAGUCUUCACAUCCCCUCCGCACUUUUUUGGAGUCAACCUGUCUCUGUUUUUAAUAUCUAUUAUUAUUAUUUUUGUGGCUAUGGAGAGGUCAUUCGCAAGAAAGUCAGUGACUCCUCGCCUUCCAUUGAAUUACCAGGACUGCCCUUGCUCGGUAGCCGUGACAUUCCCUGUUUCCUACUCCCCUCAAAUGCAAAUGAAUACAACUUUGUCCUUUCAGCGUUUCAGAAGCACGUAGAGAUGCUCCACCGUGACACCAACCCAACGGUACUGAUAAACACUUUCGAUGCAUUGGAACCAGAGGCCCUAAGGGCCGUCAGUAAGUUUAAGUCGAUUGGAGUUGGACCCUUGUUUCCAACCGCUUUCUUGGGUGGAAAAGAUCCAUCCGAUACUUCAUUUGGAGGUGAUCUGUUCCGUCGUUCAAAGGAUUAUAUUGAAUGGCUGAACUCAAAGCCUGAAUCUUCUGUCAUUUAUGUGUCAUUUGGAAGCCUCGCGGUGUUAUCGAAGCAACAGUCAGAGGAGAUUGCUCGUGGAUUGCUGGACAGUGGCCGGCCUUUCCUGUGGGUCAUAAGAGCCAAGGAGAAGGGAGAAGAGGAGAAAGAAGAAGAUAAACUAAGUUGCUACGCAGAAUUAGAACAACAAGGUAUGAUAGUACCAUGGUGUUCUCAGGUUGAGGUUCUCUCAAAUCCAUCACUGGGUUGUUUCGUGACUCAUUGUGGGUGGAAUUCAACCUUGGAGAGCUUGGCUUCUGGGGUGCCAGUUGUGGCAUUUCCUCAGUGGACCGACCAAUCCACGAAUGCAAAGCUAGCCGAAGACGUGUGGAAAACGGGUGUACGGGUGACCGUGAACCAAGAAGGAAUAGUUGAAAGCGAUGAGAUUAAGAGGUGCUUGGAAUUGGUCAUGGGAGAUGGAGAGGAGGCGAAAGAAAUGAGAAGGAAUGCAAAGAAAUGGAAGGGUUUGGCAAGGGAGGCUGUGAUGGAAGGUGGAUCAUCUGACAAGAAUCUUAAGAAUUUUAUGGAUGAGGUCAUACAAGGUUACUAGCUAGAUAUUGUGGUUGUAUCUCUUGGAGUUUAUGUUAAGACUCCCCGAUUAAUUUAAAUAUUUUACAAGAAGAUUUUUAUUAUUUAUGAUGUUAAUACAAGUAGUAGUAUUAAUUAAUGGUAGAGGGCAUAUCUAAAAUUAUGGGAGAUUCAUUGCUUCCUGAAGGCCCUAUCACAAAGGAUCUGUCAAAUGCGUGGCUAAGGUGCUGUUUGGUAAAUGUCCGUUACCAGCCAAAAUUUUGCAAUUAUUGCUAAUGGGAAUCAGGGAAACCCCAAACUGGCCUUGAUGGUCCUUGCGUGAAGACCCAUCCAAUUCUUUACAUUGUGGCCACUGAUUUGGUGUCUUAUCCUCUCAUGCCCAUCACUUCAUGUUUACAAAUUGAUAUUGUAUUCAUAGCUAUUUUUUAUGAAGGUUCAAUUGGCAAGAAGUAUUUUUGCCUUGGGAAGAUGUUGGUUAUGGAUUUAAAGCAAAAUAAAAGAUUAAAAAAAUGAUCCUUGUACAAAUUUUUGGGUGCCUCUAUUAAUUAAGUGAAUAUUAUUAUUUAAUUGAUAAAUUAAUAAUUUAUUAAUUUAAUUACUUAUUAAUUAGAUCUCUGGAAUAAUUCUAUUAUGGAACCUAUCUUGCACUAAGAAGCAUCCAUAGCGAUAAUAAUAUUAAAUAAAUUUUUGUUAUAGUACAAGAAUGUUACAUCAGACCUUUUUUUUUUUUUUUUUCAUAUUAGGAAUAGUUAAAGAUGAGAUUUAAGUAAACAUAAGUUUUAAGAAAAAAUAACACAUAUAUUUUACGAAGGAUUCUUGAUAAAACAUAUGAAUUUAAUUAUAUAUUAGAAAAUUAUUAAUUUUUAUAAUAUGUGGAUUUUAUAUGAAACUACAUAGAUUUUUUUUAUAAUGUAUUAUUUUAUAAAUUUAUCAAAUUAUUAGUUUAGCACGAUGACCCCAAAUUUAGAUUAAUUAAAAAAAUAUUUAAUUGAAGUUCUUAAUUAAUUAAAUAUUAAUUUAUUAUAAAGUUUUAUUGUAUUUUAUUUUCAUGUUCUGAAAACUAGUCGAUUUGAUUGGUUUGAGCAUUGAUUGACUAUGUAUUUUACAUAUGAGAUCGAUUAUGAGUUGCACUUUCAUCCCAAGGUAUUUAAAAAUUAGGAAAAUCAAUCCCAAGGUAUCUAUUUUACUUUUCUUAGUCUAUUCACCAUUGUCCAAACACUCCAUAAGUGGAAUGUAACUUGGAGGGGCUUGAAUAUGCAGAAUUUUAUAAUUUUGCACAUUAAUGUCUCAGAGUGUUAAAAUCUUUUACAACUAAUUGUAGAUAAGUUUAGUAUUGACAAAUAAUUUUAUUACAAUUAAAUUAUUUUUUAAUUUAUAAAAAGGUUAAAAUAAAGAUAUUUAAGAAAUAUAGUACCUUAACAAUUAAAAAUAACAUUGGUUGAUGAUAUCUAAGAAAUUCAAUGUUUUCUUCAACCUAAAAUGAAUAUAAAAAUUUGGUAUGAGGAUUGUUUGCUCGACUAUUGAAACUUAUUGACAACAUAGGAAGAGACAAAACUUUUGGGGAUAUAUUAAUAGAGUGAGGAAUUUGGUACUUGAUUCAUAGAGUAAAAGUUGAACAAAAGCAUCAAGAAACAUCGGGGUUGGAAAUGAUAGUGCACUUUUUAAAAGUCAUAGGUGGAAAGAGGGAAAAUUAGAACAGAUGAACCUUAAUUUUUUGGUAUUUUUGAUAGGUGUUUAGUAAAAUAAUUUAAUAUUACAAUUUAUAGUUAAAAAUGACUUAGUAUAUAAGCAGUUAAAAUGAUUUAGGGCUUGUUUGACCGUGUUUUUUAAAAUUUUCUUUUAAAAUAGAGAAUAAAAAUAGUGAACAUCAAGUUGUUGGAUGGACCAAUUUCUACUCAAUGCCAAAGACAGAACCACACGAAUAGUAGUUAGUUUAACCACAAAACUAAAGGUUUCAAGGAAAUCAAAACCGUGAGUUUGAUGAAAUCCUUUCACCGCUAAAUGUGCCUUAUAACAAUCAAUAGUUCCAUUAGGUUUAAACUUCAAUUUAUAAACCCAGUAACAUCUAAUGGUAUUCUGAUUAGACCAAGGAAGAAUGAUGACCUAUGUUUUAUUUUUCAUAAGAGCUUCAAAUUCAAGAUGCAUAGCCUAUUGCCAUUUAGGAACUUUAGCAAUUUCCUUAAAGGAAUUCAGUUCACAAAGUGGGGGAAAAAUAGUCUUAGUAGGAGACAAAAAUAACUUGAGUUCGAAAAUGCCAUUUUUGGCACGCAUUAUCAUGAGAUGACAAGUAUAGUAUGAACAUAAGAGGAAAGAGGUUGGGUUGUUGGAAUAGGUAUAACCUUAGAAAAGGAAAUUGGCACACUAGAAUUAGAUAUUGGAACCAACUUUGAAGGUGGACAUAAUGGGGGAGGUAAGAGGGAAGAUAUUGGAGAUGAUGGUACUACCAAGGGAAUGACACAAUGAGAGAGGGAAACAUAAUAAGGAGUCUGAACUAUGGAAGACUUAGCAAAUGGGAAAUCUAGUUCAUAAAAAAUAACAUGUUGUGAUAUAUGUAUUUUAUGAUUGGACAUGUUUAAAUAAAGAUAUUCUUUAUGCUUAGAACUAUAGUUGAUAUUUUAACGGAUUGAUAUGCAAGUUUAUGACAAUUAAAAGGAUGUAGAAAAGGAUAACAAAUGCAACCAUAGACAUGAAGAUAAUAAUAAUUUGGUAGACAAUGGUAAAGAGUCUUAUACGGAUCAAGAAGAGAUAUUCAACAUAGAGGUAGGAAGUCUAUUAAUCAAAUAUAAGGUAGAUUGGAAAGCAAAAGGUCAAUAUUUAAGUGGAAUAGAAGCAUGAGCAAGCAAAGAAAGACAUAUUUCAACCACAUGUCUAUGUUUUCUCUCCACAUGACCGUUUUGUUGAAAAGUAGAUGGACAAGAUACUCUAUGCAGAAUCCUAAAUUUACAUAAAGUAUCAAUAAAGGCUUGAAACUCCCCUCCCUAAUUAGUUUGAAGCACUCUAACUUUAGUGUAAAAUUGAGUCUCAAUUAUCACUUUAAAUUGCAAAAAAGCAGAGAUAGCUUGAUUUUUAGAAGCUAGUAGAUACAACCCCAAGAAAAUCUUGUAUGGUCAAUAAGAAAAAAGUACAAAGUAUCUUGCUCCAUUAGCACCAACAAUAGCGGUAGGACCCCAUAGAUCAAAAUGUAUAAGAGCAAAAGGCUAAGAGACUCUAGAUUUAGACAAAGUAAAAGGUAAGUGAUGACUCUUUGCCAUUUGACAAGGUUCACAAAUACCUAUCCAAUGUUUUGAGGGCAUACUAUAAGCACUCAAAACUUUAUUGACUAUUUUACGUGCAAGAUGACCUAAUUAAAAUGCCAUAGAACUACCUUAUUGGGAAGUUGUAAUGCAAAUAACAUACACAGGACCUCAAUUGCCAAGCUUGUUCUUCUAACAAUUUUAUUACAAUUGGAAUCUAUAUUUUUUACCAGAAGCUGAAGAUGACAAUUUGUAUAAACCAUGGUUAAGGUUGCCUUGGAGAAGAGCCUUCUUUGAAGCUUGAUCCUUCAUCACAAAUCCAUUAGUAAAGAAUUCCACAGUAACAUUAUUGUCAGUACACAACUUAUUCACACUUAUCAGAUUGGUUGUAAGUUGUGGAACAUGUAAAAUAUUCUUUAGAUUUAAAGACUGAGAAACCGACAAAAUAGUAGAGUAUCCAAUAUUUGAGAUAUUUAAGCAAUUACCGUUUCCAAUGACGACUUUGUCCAAACUAGCAAAUGGAGUAUGUGCAUUCAAGUUGUUGAAAUUUAGAGUUAGGUGAUAUGUAGCUCUAGUAUCCAUGUACCAACUUCCAUCUCCAAUAGUGGCCAGAGUUGCAAUCAUUGCAGCAAGAUGAGGUUACUCAAUUCUUAGGGUUCUUCUUUCUCAUUGGUUUUUGACUCAGAUGAGUUAACUUAGUUCCUAGAGCUCUUCCUCAAUGACAAACAAUUCUGAUUAGAGUGUGGCAAUGAGUUCAAUGAGCAAGCUGGUGAUUGGUCAAGGCCUCACCAGUGAUGAGGAUGUUGGUGAUAGCAACAAUCUAGUUGGAGAAAUGAUUUUUUCCAACACCUUCAAACACCGUAAAAAUGAUCAUAUCAUCAUCAUGAUCUUAGAUAAGAGAAACUUAAAGUUUUUUUUUUUAUUUCAAUUUCAAAUUCAAAACAAAAUUGCAGAGCACUAGAUACAAAAAAAAGAAAAAAGAAAAUAAAAGAACAAAAAAUCACUAUAGAAACCUUAGAAAACACACUAGGAAGAAAAAUCAUAGACAAACUCACAGAAGAAUUUUAUGGCUUUAGGAGUCGGAGCCGGAGCUAGAGAAGAGUCUUAAUGGACAUUGAGGAGGGACAAGAAGAGGUGUUCAACUAUAAUUUAUAUAGGCUAUAUAUAUUGUAAAUGUUGGCUUUAAAAUGUAUCUGGUAGUGACCCAAUGGAAGUGGAGUCUAUAGGAACAUCUAUGGUAGCGAUCCAAAAAUUAUUGCAGUUAUAGGAGAAUAUAUAAUAGCACUUUCAACAGUAAUCGUGACUAUGUAUAUUUCCUGGAAAAUUUCCCACCAAUCCCAAUCUCAAUCCCUUUAGAUGCAUGUGGUUGGAAUAUGCAUGAGGCCAUAUAUUAUGCGGUUGGGAUAUGAAUGAGGCUAUAUAAUAUUUUUAGUUGUGGAUUUUCUUAGCCCCUACUAAAACUAUAUUGCCAUUUCCUAUUCUUCUUGUAAUGUCAAGUUGGAAAGUCAAACUUAAUUUAAAAACUUUUUAAAUAUUAAACUUAGAGUUAGAGUUAGGUGGUGUUUGUUUUUUUUUUUUGUUGAAAACAAUUUGUUUUCAGAAUUUAAGUCGUUUGUUUUUCUAUUUUUUCAUGACUUAUUAUAUACUUUUUACCAAACAGAAAAAACCAAAAUAUGUAGUUUUUUCUAAAUAGAAAAAAUAAUAUGUUCAUUUUUUUUACUUUUUAAUACUUAAUAGAAAUAAAAUACUACAAAAACAAACAACCUAAUAUUUAACAUUAUUAAGUAUUAAGGUUCUAUUUAGAAUUAAAUAAAAAAAAAUAAAUGCCACAUUAGUUUCUAAAUGUUAAGGAGAACAUUUUAUUUUGAAUGAUUAUUUAGUGUUUGUAUUUGAGUAGUUAAGUCGUCAAAGGUCUCUGUAUUUGAUUAUUAAGAGUUUCUAUUUGGAUAAAUGUGAGUAUAUUUAUAAACAAAAAUUCAUAUAUAUAAUAUAUAUAUAUAUAUUUUAAAAAAGCAAUAGAAUACAAUAAAUUUUUAAUUCUCUCCUAUUUUAUCUUUUUUAUAAGUGUGUGUUUCUCUUUCAUCUAGACAACUCACACAAUACUAACACAAUGAGAGUAAAAGGAGAAGGGCAACAAAGAGUUGGAGCCGGAGAUCAUUGGAGGAACGGGUCAACUGUAGGCCGGUUGUCCAUGGGCUCAUAUAAGUAACAAAAAUUGGAAAUGGUUUCUAUAUCUUAGUGUCGUCUAGAAGACGACAAUCUACCUGUCAGUGUGCAGCAGAAGAGAAAGCGUGAUAUCUACUUCGAGUCAAAACAAAAGGGAACCAGCUCGCAAUUCCUCCGAUACAUCAUUACCGACGUCAUAGCUCUAUUCCCCCAAUUCGUCACUACCAACUUCAUUCUAUCUCCAUUACGCAUUAUUUAAAGAGUCCCCAUGCAGAUGCUGUUCGAAACACAAGUCAGCUUUGACACAACCCCACGUCAUUGUGAUAACCCAUCCGGCACAGGUCCCUGUCCAAAGACCCAUCUUACUCUUUACAUUGUGGCCACUGAUUUAGUAUCUAAUCUCAGGCAAAAUUCACUGGUUUGAUGAAGGUUAUAGAACAAAACUUGUGUUAUUCUUAUCUUUGUUUUUGAUGAACUUUAAAGCAUUUAAAAAGAUUCAACUGGUAAGAAGUAUUUUUGCCUUGGGAAGAUGUUGGUUAUGGAUUAAAAGCAAAAAAGACCCUUGUACAUAUUUUUGGGUACCUGUCAAGCAAAUUAAUGCACAUCCGAACAUCACAACUGUUGUCUCUUAAAUUCUUCCAAUUGACCUGCUUUCGUCUUAUUGAGCGUCUGGGUUACUUGAUAAUGCAAAAACUCAUACAGUUAUUUCGAUAAAUUAAGAGCCUCAGGCAUCAAGGAAAAUCUAUUAUUACUUAAUCGAUAAAUUAAUAAUUUAUUAAUUUAAUUGCUUAUUAAUGAGAUCUCUUGAAUAAUUCUAUUAUGGAACAAGACACCAUAACAAUAUUAAAUAAAUUUUUGUCACAGUGUAAGAAUGCCGCAAUAGAUGUAAUAUGAGAAUGUGAUAUUUAAUUAUGGGCCUCCGCUUAAAAUAAGUAAAUAAAUAAUUAAUAAUUAAAAUUUAAAUAAAAUAAAUAAUUAAUUAAUAAUUAAAAUACAAAUACUAGACUCACAUUCUGAGCAGCCGCUUCUAAACUCUUAUACGCUACAAAAAAACAUACACAAAGAAAUCUAGGAUUCUAGAUUUAAGUGAAGAGAAAGAGGAUUUGAUCUUUUUGUUCUUUCUCGAAAAUUUCAUGGUAAGUGAUACUUCUUAAAGAUUUUUUUUUUCAGUUUUUCUUCUUAGAAACUUUAAUUUCCUAAUAAGAUUCAGAAAUAAUUAAUAAAAACAAGAAAUUAAGAAAUACAUUGAAAGUAAUUAAAUCUAAUAUGAUAGAAACCUAAUAAUAAUAAUAAAAAUAAUAGAAAGUUUGAUGUAUUAUUUCUGAUACCUAAAGGAAAAUUCUAUAUGAAAUUGUGGAGUUAAUGUUUUUUUUUUUAAAUAUAUAAUAAUAACAAAAAACAAUAGAAAGUUUGAUGUGUUAUUGCGUAAACCUAGAAGAAAAUUCUAUAUGAAAUAGUGGAGUUAAUGUUUUUAAAAUAUAUAUAUAUAUAUAUACUAGAAAUUCUUAUGUGUAGGAGAUAAGAAUUCUAUUGGAGGCCUCCAAUUUUAUUAUGUUAGGAUUCCAUAAUGAAUUAAAUUAAAUUAAAUUAAUAUAAUUUAGAUUAGAUUAAUUAUAACUGUGGGAAUUGAAAAGCUUAGGAUGACAAUUAAGAAAUGGAAAUAUGAUAUUUUUUCUAGAUAAAUGAAUAAUUUAUAUAUAUGUUAAAAAACUAUAUAUAUUUAGAAUAUAAUUAUUAUUAGAACAUUAGUUUAAAGAACCCUUAUAAUUUCUCAGGUAAUUCAAAGGAAAUUCUACCGCUUUAAUAUUUGGAGUUUAAGUCCAAUUAAGGGGACAAAUUAAAAAAUAUUUAAGUAUAAUUUUCUUUUGAAAGUUUCAAGAAAUUGGGAAAUAAUUUUGUUAUAAGGUAUAUGUUUGCUUAGAUGUGUGAUAUGAAUUUUUUUUUGUUUAAAAGAAAAAAAAAAUAGGACUAGUAAUCUAAUCCCUGUUAAUAAAGGAAAGUGUUUUGACUUUGGGUCAUAUAAAGUAACUAAAUUGGAAAAUGGUCUCUAGAUCUUAACUUUGGGUCGCGACUAGAAGACGACAAACUACCGGUCAGUGUACAGCAGAAGAUAAAGUGAGACAGGAUACUUAUACAUCUCUUGAAAUUAAUUUGUCUUUGGUCAAAACAAAGAGGAAGCAGCUCACAAUUCCUCCAAAACAUCAUUGCAAACGUCAUAGCUCUGUUUCCCCAAAUUCGUCAUUCCAUACUCUGCCUUCCUUAUUUAAAGAGUUCCAUGCAGAUGCAGAUGCAGUUCGAAACACAAGUCAGAUUUGAUCAUCCUCUGCAUAGACCCAACCGAAGUAUCUCCACUUCAUCUUCUUCCCCUACAAUGACACAACCCCAUUUCAUUGUGAUAACCUAUCCGGCACAAGGCCACAUCAACCCUUCUCUCCAACUGGCUAAGCGCCUCAUACGUGCUGGUGCCCAUGUCACAUUCGUCACUAGCACCUAUGCCGGUGAGCGCAUGGCCAAAACCCCAACCAUGGAUGGGUUAAAAUUUGUCACAUUCCCGGAUGGCUGCGACAGUGGCCUCAAGCAAAGCGAUGCCCUCCAAGGCUUCAUGUCUGAGCUUGAGCGUCUUGGCUCCCAAGCUCUUAUCGGCCUCCUCAUAGCCAGCGCUAAUGAAGGUCGUCCCGUUACUUGCAUAAUCUACGGCAUCCUGAUUCCUUGGGUAGCAGAGGUGGCGCGUAGUCUUCACAUCCCCUCCGCACUUUUUUGGAGUCAAC